rnacentral:rRNA from 1 species
CACGUAGGGUGCGAGCGUUGUCCGGAAUUAUUGGGCGUAAAGAGCUCGUAGGCGGUGUGUCGCGUCGGCCGUGAAAACCUGCAGCUUAACUGUGGGCUUGCGGUCGAUACGGGCAUCACUGGAGUUCGGCAGGGGAGACUGGAAUUCCUGGUGUAGCGGUGAAAUGCGCAGAUAUCAGGAGGAACACCGGUGGCGAAGGCGGGUCUCUGGGCCGAUAUUGACGCUGAGGAGCGAAAGCGUGGGAGCAAACAGG